AAUUAAUUAUUCAUUUGACCUCAUUACGUCAUCUAAUUUAUUCAUUAUGAAACUUUUCUUUCCACACAAAAAUGGACCUACGAACACUCCGGUUGAGUUUGAAGAACAAGAAAAACAGUAGAGGUCUACCCGGUACCUAUGGUUAAACAUGAUGAUCAUAAGUGCAUGUAUCAUUUUGCAGAUUCUCAUCCAGGAUGAUGCAGCUCUACAAUUUCCAUGGAGGUGAUUGAUGAUGAUAAACAAUUGGUGAAGUAGGCCUAAUAGAACAGUGAUAGGACCACAAAGAGAAAUACAACCUACAGCAGUUAUAUGAGACUGGUGUAACAGAUGUUUUCAUUCAAGAAAUCCAACAAAUUGAAGAGUGACUUAGCUUAGGAAGCACUUGAUAAAGAUGGAAAAGU